GUCUAAGCGGUAAGACAUGAAUGAAGCCUUUCCUCCUGAACAUGAAAAGAAAAGAAAGCAGACGACCAAAGAGGACUGAGCAUCGUCAGGAGACAGAGGUCAGCGCUGCCGCCUGACGUUCCUAAGAGCGUCACCAGGCGUCUCGGUCACUCGUCCCGUGAGGGUCAAACAGGAGUCACUCGGUCCCUUGGGGCCUGGAACUCUGCAUUCUUUACGAACCGGACGAGUCAAGGGCUAAGUCCCGAAGCAGACAGAGAAUUUGCGAGACCUCCCUCUACUCCACACCCCUCAUCCCUUCCGGAGAAUCUGGCAGCCGCAGAGGAAGAGAAGUCCUUUCUCUGGGGCCCCUCAUCGACAACAGCAGGCGAGACGGCCAGCAUGACGAAGCCCACGACGACGCAGAGGGAGCCCACGACCAGGUAGGCGAUGCCCAGGAAGGGAUUCUUGCCGCCCAUCCAGGAGACGUUGCUGAACACGAGCAGCUUGUGGCCGCCGAAGGAGCGCACCGGGUAGUUGUAGGCGAUGUCCACGCGGUAGGCGCCGCUGGGCAGCCCGGCAGAGUAGUUGCCCUGGCGGAUGCGCGCGUACAGCUUGCGGAAGGUGGGCAGCGCCGCCGUGCGCAUCCACACCACGAAGUCCUGGUUGACGAAGCCGGUGUUGUUGAGGUCGGGGCUCAGCUCGUAGACCGGCCGGCGCCAGUUGGGGGGCGGCGCGGUGCCCCGGA
rnacentral:lncRNA from 1 species